GAUGAAGAACGUAGCGAAAUGCGAUAAGUAAUGUGAAUUGCAGAAUUCAGUGAAUCAUCGAAUCUUUGAACGCACAUUGCGCCCCUUGGUAUUCCAUGGGGCAUGCCUGUUCGAGCGUCAUUUGUACCUUCAAGCUCUGCUUGGUGUUGGGUGUUUGUCUCGCCUCUGCGUGUAGACUCGCCUCAAAACAAUUGGCAGCCGGCGUAUUGAUUUCGGAGCGCAGUACAUCUCGCGCUUUGCACUCAUAACGACGACGUCCAAAAGUACAUUUUUACACUCUUGACCUCGGAUCAGGUGGGGAUACCCGCUGAACUUAAGCAUAUCAAUAAGCGGAGGA
rnacentral:misc_RNA from 1 species